rnacentral:rRNA from 1 species
GAUGAACGCUGGCGGCGUGCCUAAUACAUGCAAGUAGAACGCUGAAGGAGGAGCUUGCUCUUCUGGAUGAGUUGCGAACGGGUGAGUAACGCGUAGGUAACCUGCAUGGUAGCGGGGGAUAACUAUUGGAAACAAUAGCUAAUACCGCAUGACAACAGUUAUUGCAUGAUAACUGUUUAAAAGGGGCAACUGCUCCACUACCAGAUGGACCUGCGUUGUAUUAGCUAGUUGGUGAGGUAACGGCUCACCAAGGCGACGAUACAUAGCCGACCUGAGAGGGUGAUCGGCCACACUGGGACUGGGACACGGCCCAGACUCCUUCGGGAGGCAGCAGUAGGGAAUCUUCGGCAAUGGACGGAAGUCUGACCGGGCAACGCCGCGUGAGUGAAGAAGGUUUUCGGAUCGUAAAGCUCUGUUGUAAGAGAAGAACGAGUGUGAGAGUGGAAAGUUCACACUGUGACGGUAUCUUACCAGAAAGAGACGGCUAACUACGUG